GACGAACGCUGGCGGCGUGCCUAAUACAUGCAAGUCGAACGGUUUAGUUCCAAGAGGCUUGCCUUUUGGAACUAGACAGUGGCGGACGGGUGAGUAACACGUAGGCAACCUACCUGUCAAACCGGGAUAACCUCGGGAAACCGAAGCUAAACCCGGAUAAGCUCCUUUUUCGCAUGAAGGGGGAGUGAAAAGGUGCGACCUGAUGACAGAUGGGCCUGCGGCGCAUUAGCCAGUAGGUAGGGUAACGGCCUACCUAGGCGAUGAUGCGUAGCCGACCUGAGAGGGCGUACGGCCACACUGGGACUGAGAUACGGCCCAGACCCCUACGGGAGGCAGCAGUAGGGAAUCUUCGGCAAUGGGCGAAAGCCUGACCGAGCAACGCCGCGUGAGUGAGGAAGGCCUUCGGGUUGUAAAACUCUGUUGUUUGGGAAGAAGGGAAAGGGUAGGACCCUUAGGUGACGGUACCAAACGAGAAAGCCCCGGCUAACUACGUG
rnacentral:rRNA from 1 species